UGGUAAAUCACUCCAGUAUCUUUGCCAAGGAAACUCCAAAUGGGGUCACCAACAGUCAAUAAUGACCAAAAAUGUCAAAACAACAGUAGGAUAUACUGGAUUGGACAAAUUCUUAAGGAGAGAUGGGAACGGCCUAAGAACAUGGAAGGUCUAAAAGAAAAAGGAGAGCAGAAAAGCCUGGGAAAAGAGAGGGUGAAAAAUGCACCUACUUUGCAGUUUUAUGAGGGUCCUCACUGCCCUGUCAAACGCAGGUAGAUCUUUCCCUGGAAGAGAAGAAAACAAGAAAAAUAAAACCAAAAAAAUAAACCACCACCACUAAUAACAACAACAAAACUCCCCGAACAAAAAGCAGUAAACCUGAAAUGAGCAAGUAUCAGGCUGAGCAGGAGACAACCUAUAUUGUGAUUUCAGGGUACGGUGACCUGGCUUGAGCAAGAGAGUGGCCAUCUUGGUGCAGGGCAAACCAAAGAUCUGCAUAGAAAAGGAAAACCAAAUAAAUCAAGACUGGGCACCAUCUUACAUGUGUAAAUCAAUUUAGCGGUAUUGCUGUUGUUGCGUAUUUACUUCUACAAGGACUGUUUUCUCCCAUCAGAAAAUUAAUAAGAAACAAGUCAUGGAGCCGGCCAGUCCUUGCACUGCUUUUCAAAUAGGUUUUGCUUCAUGGUUUGAAUGCCAACAAGUUAUUAUUGGUUUGGACAUCACAACACUGCAGUAAAUCAGCUGAAGAUAAUCCCCUUCACACAGACAGGGGCAGAAUUGUAAUUACCACUAAGAAGUCCACAUGGAAGACACGGAGACCAGAUGGAGCCAACAAUACGUGGCCCCUUCAGACUCAUCGAUUUCUCUUUCACUAUUUGGAGAUGUACCUGGCACCUCAGUGGAAAUGGCUGCUGGAGGCCAAGUCGUCUGGAAAGAAGUGAAGCUCACUUGCUAGUCGGCUCUGAGACUCAUCAAUAGAGGAAGUGAAGAGGGAUCAAUGCUCACACCUUACAGAAGAAAAGUAGCAGAACAAGACACAGGGUAAGGAAUGGCCUUACUGACUACAAAUACUUUCUUAUUUUUGAAGGGAAAGAGACAAUUUCUCUGUAGGGCUUCUAUGCCUUGGGGAAUUGAAAUGUAGAGUAAAUCACAUUCUCC